rnacentral:snRNA from 1 species
AUACUUACCUGGCAGGGGAGAUACCGUGAUCAGGAAGGUGGUUUUCCCAGGGGGAUGCUUAUCCAUUGCACUCCAGGUGCCCUGACCCCUGCAAUUUCCCCAAAUGCGGGAAAUUCGACUGCUCAAUUUAUGGUAGUGGGGGACUAUGUUCGUGCUUUCCCUUG